GGGCAACCACACGGACCCAUUUCUUUUCCUUUUCGCCUCUCUACGCCGCUUCUCUCUCUCUCUCUCUCUUUCCUCUCUUUCUCUUCUCAGCUGCUCCGAUCAGACGCUGCUGCGCCGGUCGCUGCCAUCUCCGAAGAUGGUAAUCUUAUCUAUCAAUUGGGACAUUUGGUGGUUGUGACUUGUUAUUUGAUUUGUAAGUGAAAAGGUUGGGUUGCUAUUUCUUGAAAAAAAGGUUGGUUGCUAUUUUUUGACGAUCGGUUACCUCUCUCUUCAAAUUAGUUCAAAUUAGGCCAAACAAAGAUGGUGUGAGAGGAACAUGCGACCCUUCAGAUGAAAAAUAAAAUUUGAAAGAACUGGAGCUCCUGAUGCUCAUGAACUGGAGCAUGAGCUGGGCCGGAAGAAUUUGAAAGAAUUUUUCCUCUUAGAGCUUGUGCAUUACUCGCAUCAGAUUCCUCACUUAAGACCUGCCGAAUACAAGAGGUCUAGAUUACCUAGAAACAGGAAAGUCAACCGUGCUUAUGGUGGUAUGUUGUCAGGCAGUGAUAUACGUGAAAGGAUCAUAAGAGCUUUUUGGUUGAACAACAAAAGAUUACGAAGAAGGUUUUAAAGAUCCAGAAAGCCAAGGAAAACCAUGCAACCAAGAGCUAAGCUUUUAAUCCUUGAUGAUGGAUUGAGAGGAAUUUCUGAUACCGCAGGCUACUAAAAUACCCCUAGCUGAUGUUAGUUAAGCAACAACACUUGCAAAUUUGCUACUAUAAGCAUGUGAUCAACUGCUCUACCUUAAUGGCAGUCUAGUUAUACCUCUUCUACUGCUAUCUAUAAAAGCAACAUGCACUCGCUCCACUGCAAAA